rnacentral:rRNA from 1 species
GACGAACGCUGGCAGCGUGCCUAAUACAUGCAAGUAGAACGCUGAAGGAGGAGCUUUCUUCUCUGGAUGAGUUGCGAACGGGUGAGUAACGCGUAGGUAACCUGCCUGGUAGCGGGGGAUAACUAUUGGAAACGAUAGCUAAUACCGCAUAAGAGUAGAUGUUGCAUGACAUUUGCUUAAAAGGUGCAAUUGCAUCACUACCAGUUGGACCUUCGUUGUAUUAGCUAGUUGGUGGGGUAACGGCUCACCAAGGCGACGAUACAUAGCCGACCUGAGAGGGUGGUCGGCCACACUGGGACUGAGACACGGCCCAGACUCCUACGGGAGGCAGCAGUAGGGAAUCUUCAGCAAUGGACGGAAGUCUGACCGAGCAACGCCGCGUGAGUGAAGAAGGUUGUCGGAUCGUAAAGCUCUGUUGUAAGAGAAGAACGAGUGUGAGAGUGGAAAGUUCACACUGUGACGGUAACUUACCAGAAAGGGACGGCUAACUACGUG